GAUGAACGCUGGCGGCGUGCCUAAUACAUGCAAGUCGAGCGAACUGAUUAGAAGCUUGCUUCUAUGACGUUAGCGGCGGACGGGUGAGUAACACGUGGGCAACCUGCCUGUAAGACUGGGAUAACUUCGGGAAACCGAAGCUAAUACCGGAUAGGAUCUUCUCCUUCAUGGGAGAUGAUUGAAAGAUGGUUUCGGCUAUCACUUACAGAUGGGCCCGCGGUGCAUUAGCUAGUUGGUGAGGUAACGGCUCUCCAAGGCAACGAUGCAUAGCCGACCUGAGAGGGUGAUCGGCCACACUGGGACUGAGACACGGCCCAGACUCCUACGGGAGGCAGCAGUAGGGAAUCUUCCGCAAUGGACGAAAGUCUGACGGAGCAAGGCCGCGUGAGUGAUGAAGGCUUUCGGGUCGUAAAACUCUGUUGUUAGGGAAGAACAAGUACGAGAGUAACUGCUCGUACCUUGACGGUACCUAACCAGAAAGCCACGGCUAACUACGUGCCAGCCGCCGCAGUAAGAC
rnacentral:rRNA from 1 species